GCCUCCAGAAAUUAAUCACUACAAUUUAGCACCGCCAAAUCACGCCAUUCAUAAACAAAAAGGUGUUUAGUGGACUAAAUAAUAUAAAUAUUAAACAACACUGUUAAGCAGACUUUCAGGUGAAUGAGUACAUCCAGAACCCACCUCGUCUGAGAACCCGUCCAGCACAUGUAGCCUGUGAACGAACAACACAUCGGUACGUUAGCUUAAUCGAUAUGCAGCCGUGCUCGGGUCAUAUAGGACCACAUUCCCCGCUGACACGGAGCUAGCAGCCGCAUCGGUAGCGAAACUUCCUGAGUGGCGCCAAAUCUUGCUCACUGCUCCAGCCAAUGACAGGAUAACAUGCUAACUGGCUAACGUCUACAUCGGGGCUAUGCGGCAUCUCACUGUCAAGUGACAACAAGCUAAGGCUAACGGUAGCGGCUAAGAGCAGCAAAAGAGCAAAGAGGGUGCCCUCGCUCGUGACAACUGGGACACGGCGAGAGUCGCCGGAGCACGCGGGGCUCACGGCCGUUGCCGUGGCUGGUGUAAGAAGACAACAAGCUGGAUGCCUGCUCCAUCACCCCGGGACGUUAUUAGCAGUCGGGAUCUUAACGUUACCUUUUCCUGACAUCCUCUGGCAGAGACAGGGAAGUCCUGGCAGGCAUGCUUCGCCUACAGGUUUGUGAGCCUGAUGUCAUAUCCUGCAGGGCACUGGAAAAGACCUGGCCGCCUUCCCAGGAGCGCAGCCUCUUGGGGCUGAUUCAGCCAAUGUUCCCACCCAGGAAUCCUGAAUGUCUGACAGGAAACAGGCCCAGCUCUCCCAAGGCCACUAUAAACCAACCUCUCCCCACACCCCAAAUCUCCCCCUAACCCAAAACAUCUCUCAGGGCCAUUAUUUAUGCUUCUCUUACACAAACUGUCUUACAAAUAGACUUUCUUCUUCACCAAAGCACAUUUUCAUCCUCCCUGCCCACUACCCAGCUUCCCAUCAUUGCCUUGUUUUUGCUUUAGCCUUUAAGCAACUGAGCUUUUUAUUAGGUAAGAGAGCAGUGAUUAAUAGCUACGAAGCAUUUGCACGUACAGGUUGUGCGUUCGUGUUGAAGCUGGUGCUUCCCUGACCUUGUCAGAGCAUGUUUGAAAUAAAUGCUCCAUUUUGAAAACUCCACAUGUAGAAGCACAAUAGAGAGGCGUCUCAGGACCUGCAAAAAAACGCCUGCAAUUAAAUAGGUUUGUGGCUCAGAAUUAAAGGCAAAGACACAAAAUGGA